CGGAAGCCCGUCCGUGCCCCGAGGGGCCGCGCUUACCCGUCGGGCGAAUACUCCAGGUUGAAGACCGCACCGUGGGUGCGUGUGCUGAGGUACACGGAAUCCGCGGGGUGGAUGGAACAGUACAGGUGACCGUGGAGGCCUCUGCAGAGAAGUGUGGCUGUGGAGGGGAGCAUCGGACGUGGAGGAUGGACGUGGAGUAUGGCACUGGCUGGCACUGUUGGUCCUGAUUGAAAGGAUUUUGCCCUAAAGGGGAUGCUGCAGCACUGGGAGGCAAAAGGUCACCUUCCCCCCUCCUAAGCAAUUUAUCUGUGGCGUGAAAUGAAUUCCAAUGGGCUACCUAUACAUCAGUAAUGCCCCUUAGGCACCACCCCAAACCUAAGCUCCAUGUAUGUCCCACACGAUGUGUCCGGUGGAGAGAAAGCCAGACCCCGGAGGUCAUGGAGUCUCUCUCCAUAUUCUUAAAACAAAGGCCACUUUUAUCUCAUAUUUCUAUCUUUUUAGCCAUGCCGAAAAUUGUAUCACUGGCAAUCUAUGACAGAGAUUAAAUAAGGGUCACAGAAAAUACAGUGGCAUAGUGCCGCAGAAUCAGGGAAUAGGGAAAAUGAGCAACAACUUCUCAUCUCCAACCAACUGAAGAGGUCAGAUCUUCCGACAGACUCAAAACCCAAAAACCAACUGCCCCUGGAAGAUACCUCAGAGAAGUAGUCAUCACCUAGGGUCCUAAAUACUACCAGUAAAGCAACCCACUGUAGGCAACUUUCAAGCAUCACCCCAGGAAUUAAACUUAAAAAAGAGAAAAUAAAAUGAGAAGACACUUAAGCAAAAUGCAACCUCAGACAUCCAGUUCACAAAAGGCAAAUCCAGGGGCAAUGAGGAGGACAACCCAAAGCCCCCCACCAGGUCUCUUUGAAGUAGGAAAAGCAAAGCAAUUGAAUGAGACUCUGGAAAAAAAAAUGAAAUUGGAAAUAAUCUCUCAGAUAACUGCAGAGAUUACCAGAGUCACCUCUGGCAACUUCUUUCAAACCUGACAUGUCACAAGACCAAGAAAAGACUAGAAACGAACAAAGUCAUUUUGGGGUAAGCUACUGAUUGAAUGGCUUAAGUGGCCACUGGUCUUGAAGGAGAGACAUCAAACGGGUUCUAUCUCCUGGACCAAUUCCCACUGAUCAGAACUCCUUGUCUUGAGAAAUUCUGAAAAGGGUCCUGGACCCAACAUGAAGCAUUGCUGUCAUCAAUUAGAGAUGUCUAACGUGGCAAGGCAAUAUUGUGGCAAUAGUGCAGUAUCUAGUGUAUCAAGUCCAGCUCAGACACCCAACAGCAGUCAAACCUCCUGGGAUUCAUUGUGGUCCUAAGACCUUCUAUGGCCUUGUUUUUGUUUUUUGUUUUUUUGUACUGGAAAUCUAACUCAGGGCCUCACACUUGCCAGGCAAGCAGUGUGCCACUGAGCUAUGUGGCCCUUUGAAGUCUACUCAUUUUUGAUUGCCAGGGCAAUAAUUUUUUUCAUCCGUCCCAACAAUAGUAACUUCUAUAAUGAGCACUUAAUAUGUACUGUGUCAGGCUUUUUACAUACAGUAUCCCAUACAAUACCCCCAGCAAUCUUAAAUUUUAUACAUAUGGAAACUAAGAAUCAGAAAGGUGGGUCAUGCGGAGAUAAAUGUUUGAGUCUAGAUUUAUUUUUACUUGGUUGGGUUUGUUUGUUUGUUUGGGAGACAGGGUUUUAGUUCAGGCUGGCCUUGAACUCACGGCAAUUCUCCUGCCUCAGCCUCUCCUGGGCUGAGAUCACAGGUGUGUAUCAUCACGCCUGGCUCAGUCCUUUCCACUGUUAUAGUUUCUCUCUCUCUCUCUUCCUCCCUCCCUCCUUCCCUCCCUCCCUCCUGCUUUCCUCCCUCCCUGUCUCCUUCCCUCCCAUACCAGAAAACAAACAAAACUUUAUUCUAAAUAAAAAGUAGGGGAAAAAACAAAAUUUUGAAUGUUCUUUCCACAUGAAGUUAGAGGAAGGCUGCAAGAAAAUCAAAUUACACUUUUCUAGGAAGCUCCGGCUGGUCAGGUAGCCUGAGGCUAUAAUGGUUGAUAUAGGACUGUCAGAACUCAGGCUGCCUGUGUCAAAUCAUGUCUCUGCCGCUUCUCACUUUGUGACCUGAGAUGGGGUACUUCUCUGUCCUCCAGUUUCUUUAUCUAUGAAGUACAGGCAAUAAUACCAAAGGCAUACUGGGCAUGGUGGCCAUGCCUGUAAUCCCAGCACUUGGGAGGCUGAAGCAGGAGGAUCACUGUGAUUUCUAGCUAGGCUGAGCUACCCACUGAGACCCUGCUUCAUAAAAACAAAACAAAACAAAACAAAAAACUAGGGCUAGGGAUUUAGUUCAGUGGCUUAAGGGCCUGCCUGGCAAGUAUGAGGUCCUGAGUUCGAUCCCCAGUACCAAAAAAAAGAAAAAAAAAAAAACCAAACACAUAGAACUGUUGUGCAAGUUUAAUGAGCUACCAGUGAUACAUAUAAAGCUCUUAAAACAGGUUAGCAUUUAGCAAAUUCUGUAAAGAAAUAAAGUAAAUAAGAUGUAACAUAAUAGUGUGACUAAAUAACAGGUUUAAAAUAAUAUUGUGACUAAAGUACAGGGCAGUACAUUGUGGAUGUCUAUCGGUUGCCAUUGCUUUUGUAUAUACCAGGAAGAUCUGGGCAGCUCCUCUCACACCUUUCACACAACUUGGCUGGACUAAGGGAUUUCCAGAGACUGUUAAAACAUUUCUGGGUGCAUCUGUUAGGGUGUUUCAGAAAAAGAUGAGGAUUUAAAUAGACUGAGAAAAAAUGAUGUAGCCUACCAAAGUUGAAGGCGUCAUGCUAUCCAACUUUUGUUAAAGGCAGGGGAAGUGUGAUUUCACCCAGUUCUUAGACUCCUGAUUCUCAGUGGCUUCUGUCCUUAGUUCUCAGUCUUCGGUUUUGGACUGGGAGUAAUACCGUCAGUUCCUCCUUGUGACUCAGACAAAUUUAUAGUAGGUUCUCUUCUGGUUCUCUAGCUUACAAACCACAGAUAAUGCGACUUCAUAACUGUAUCAGCCAGCUUCAUAAUCUCCCCCCCCCAUUCUGUUUUAUGGAGAAGGCUGAACAAAAAGACAACCUUCCCUGAGUGCUGUCUUACUGGCAGCCCUACCUCUGAUGUUCACAUUGGAUACUUAAUCUUUGUGCCAGAACACACAUGUGAUUUAAAACAAUAGUGAAUGUUUAAAUUAAAAAAUGUAUUACAGUAAGAGAUGAGGUAAUAGGGCCAGGGAUAUAGCUCAGUGGCACAGCGCCUGCCUGGCAAGUGCCAUGUCCUGAGUGUGAUUCCUAGUACCAGUACCCUACCCCCAGUGGCAUAAUGGUUGAUUCAUUGUGUCAACCUGAGAAGUUUGGAAGUUUAACUGAGUCACUCAGCAGAGCACCAGGGUUCCCACUUUGUAAACAUCCUCUUCCUUUGCAAGAGCAGGGCAUGGCCAUAGUGUGAGUGCUACACUGGCCCUAGAGGGCAGGUAACCUGCUUACAAUAUGAGGGAGGAAAAGGGGCUUGCUCUCACCUCUUUUGCUCUUUCUGCUUGUGGUGUCUUUUGCCACCUUGAAGUGUUGCCCCUGUGCCAUGCCACCCUGCCUUGGAGAUAGCUGAUUACGUAUCGAAACCUCCACAAACUGUGAGCUGAAUAAACCUUACCUUCUUUAAUUUUGGCAUCAAGUAUUUUGUCCCAGCAAUGAGAGAAUGUGAUAGUUCAGACCCUGGAAUAAAAUCCAAGGAAGCAAGACAUUAAGAAAUUUGGAGCAAAGGCUUUAUUUUAGGCCAGGCCUGGCGACGCAGCCUCCGGUAGCCAAUAUGGAAGACUGUGUGCCUAACAGCUAAAGGGCAGGGUUUUAUCUUGUAAAACCACAAACAACUGCUGGUCUCACAAUACAAGGAGGGGGGUGGGUUUGUGGCGCACUACAAAACAGGAACAUGGUGAUUACAUUUUUUGGGGGAAGAGCAAGGUUCAGGUAAGGGUUGGGUUAACAAGCAAGUUUAGAUUAGCAAACAUCCUCUGGGGGAAGGCACAUCCUGCAAACAAGCAAGUUUCCCUGCAAACAAGCAAGUUUAGAUUAGGAAGACAUCCUGUUCUGCUCUUAGAGUUACCUUUGAUCUUUUUCUUGCCUCUGAGGAGACUUAUGAGGGGUUUUUUAUAUAUAGGUUAUCAAAAGAAAAGCUACCAACACAGAUACAUUGCCAUUAAUUCCCCACCCCCCUCAAAAUACUCCCCUCAUUUUAAACACACUUAUCCCUGCAUUUUUGACACUUUUAGAGACCAUUCUGGUCUCUUCUUUUGUAUCUUUUUGUGCCUCAGUGUCCUAAAAUGAUUCAAAAUAUUUACAGCAAUUUUUGUCAAAUAAAAAACAUUACAGUAUAGGUUUAUACACCUUAUUUACUGGAUUUGGUACAUGCAGCUUCUGGUUUUUCUCUAGCAUCAAAAUGACCAUGAGAUAGUCAGAUUCUGUCUAUAAAUAAAAAUAAACAUAAUAAAAUAAAUUGAACAAUCAGUUAAAAAAUCAUAAAAAGUAAAUAUUUUGAACUGAUUCAGUACACCUUUGAUUGCAGCCAUGGCAUUGCAAUCAAAGGCACUCACAGAAGAGGUUUUCUAGAACUGCUCUAGAAAACGAUAAGAAGUGUAUUCAAAGUGAGGGGAAAUAUUUUGAGGGGGAUUCAAGGCAAUGUGUCUUUUCCUGUAGCAGUUUUUUUUUUUUAACUUUAAAUAGUCACUGGAAUUUUUGCUCAUACCUCCCAACUGAAGGGGAAUCUCUGGGGCCUAGACUAGGCCAGUGGCAGCAAAUCUAUGGCAUGUGUGCCACAGCUGGCUGAUGAUUGUCAUUGAAAUCUCUGAAAACUCUAGGCGAUGACACUGAAGCUCUGUGGCUUCAGUUUUCCCAUCCACUAGCAAGGCAGGGGCAACUCAUCCAACUCACUCACUUUAUGAGGCUGUCUCAACAACCUUGGGAAUUUGAGUUACAAAUUCAGAGCAGCUGGCCAUGAUGACCCAGCUGAGAUGCAGCCAGGUCACUAGAGUCAUGGUGGGUCAUGAGCAUGCCAAAGGGAUGAGAGAGAAAGCGUGAGAAGGAAGUGGCUGUGAGGGGGAGGAGAGACUCAGGGUAGAGUGAAGUAAGAAACUUGGUGGUGGGAGUAGAUGCACAUAGAUAAAAAUGGCAGUACCAAGGGUAACUGGGACUUGUUCUUGGUGGAGUUCCUGGAGUCUUGCUGCAGAGGUUCCUCGAGGUACCAGAUCAGCUUUUUUGUUCCCAUGUGGCCUGAUCACUUGAUUCAGCAGUACCUGAAGUGAGGCUCACACACUGACAAGAAUUGGAAUGCAAAUAAGAAAGCAAAUGUGUCCCUUCAGCUAGAGAGAUUUCCAUGACUCAGACUAUUCAAGGAGCGAAACACUGCUGUCAUGUAGACUUAUCUUAAAAAUAAAAACCCAACAUGUGCAAUGCUUAGGAUCAGUCUAAUGUUAUUCUAAGCAACUUUCUAUACAUUAAACUCAAAACUCAAGUCUACUAUUGUCCCAACUAUUAUUAGUGUGAACUAUUUAGUUUGCACUAUUAUUGUCCCCUCUUCAUAAAUGACAAAACAUAGACACAAAACAUUAUGGAGCCUGAGGCCCAGGAUUCAAAUCUAGACAAGCCAGCUCCAGAACCACCUCCGAACCGUGUGCUGUGCAUGCAAACUGAUGGCCCACGCACGGCCUUUCAUUAUAAUAUAUCCUUCCAAAAACCAAACCCAUGGACAAAUCCCAGCUCUGUUCCCAGUUUUCUCCCUUUUAAUCCUGCACCUUUGAAGAAAUAUAUCAUUAAAAAGAACAGCUUUAAUUUAUUGAAUAACUGCUUUACCAGCUUGUCGGCAGAAGCUUUGCAGCUUUGCAGCAGAAGCUUUGCAAUCCAUGCACCUUAGAUUAGGUUAUCAUUCUUUCUGUAGUUGGGACCUGGAAUGUCCUUUAAGGCUCGUAUGUUAAAAGCUUGAUUACCAACCUGUGGCACUGUGGAGAGGUGGAGGAACCUUCUGGAGAUGAGGCCCCUUGGAAGGACAUGAGGUCAUUGCAGGGACAAUGGAAGGGGACAUCCAGAAUUCAGCCUCUUGGGUUGUUUCCCAGUUACUGUGAGGUGAGCACCACCUUUGUCCCCCCUCCCCGUGCUCCCCACUGUGAUGUUGUGCAGCAGGCCCAAAGUAUUGGGGCAAGCAACCACGGGCUGAAACCUCUCAGACUGUGAGCCAAAAGAAGUCUUUUCUCCUUGUGAGUUGACUAUCUUAAGUGUUCUUUCACAGCAGUAGAAAGGCAACAGAGCUACUUUACCUCCCUCUACUGGGAACAGUCAUAACUCAGCUACCACAAGACAAAACAAGCUCAGUACUGCCAGUAUCAUAUUGCUCAAGAGAAGCUAAAUGUAGGUGUUCAAAAUGAGACCUGCUGCUAGCUGGGCAUGGUGGUGCACACCUGUAAUCCCAGUACUCGAGAGGCUGAGGCAGGAGGAUCGUUGUGAGGUCGAGGCCAGCCUGGGUUAUAAAGUUAGCUCAAGGCCAACCUGUACUGCAAAGUGAGACCCUGCCUCAAAAAUACAAAAAAAAAAAAAAAAAAAUUGCCAUGGGUACACAUAAGAUUGGCAAAAAUGAGCCAAAAUAAGGUCUGCUGCCAGCCCUUGACACACAAAGAAACAGGACACAAUGCAAUGCACUGCCUCAAAAACAAGCAAGUUCUUUGAAAAAACAAAGAUACAGCCACUCUCUCACCUUCCAGUUAAAUGGUACCAAGCCCCCAGUACUGGAAUCUUCUACCUGAGCCAUCACCAGACUUGAGCAACAUAGUUGCACAGGAAGUAGGGAGGCAGGUACAACCUUGAUUCUGUGCACAAAAUCUGUCCUACUUGUCUGCUCACUAGAAAACGUAAAUAAAAUAUUAGUUUGAUACUGAUAUUAUACUUGGUGAAAGCUGACAGUACACUUGCCAAUUUUGAACUUAUACUAGGGUUUCUGGAUUAGCUCAUUAGAAAAUGAGGUUUUUGUUCGGUCCCUGGCACCCCCCCCCAAAAUGAGGUUUUCAAAUUAAAUCUCCAGAUUAUUGAGUGUUAUCUUGGUUAUUUUUCCCAAGGAUGCAGAUAUAACAGGGUUGGUGGCUGGGGACUUGGACACUUGUGCUAGGUUGGUGCUCUACCACUGAGCUACAUCCCUGGCCCUCUGUCCUUUAUUUUUUGUUUUGAAAUAGGUUCUUGCUAAAUUGCCCAGGUUGGCUUGGAACUUGUAAUACUCCUGCCUUAGCCUCCUAAGUAACUGGAAUUACAGGUGUGCACCAACACAGCCAGCCAGUCUAUUAACUUUUAUGUAUUAGGAAGCAUUAAUAAGAAAACAAAGGCCAGGCACUGUGGCAGACACCUGUAACCCCAGCGCACAGGAGACUGAAGCAGGAGAGUUAGAGGCCAGCCUGGGCUACCUAGCAAGACCCUGUUUCAAAAACAAAGUAAGUACUUGGGAAGCUGAGGCAGGGGUAUCACCCUGAGUUCAAGGCCAGCCUGGGAUACAUAAUAAGUUGAAGGCUAGCCUGAACUACAUUGUGAAACACUGUCUCAAAAAAAUCCAAAAGAAAAAAAUUAAAAAUCAUAGGUAUUAAAUUAUUUUUAUAAAUUUGUGGGAGAAGGUGGUGGUAUACCCCUAUAAGCCCAGCACUCUUGAGAGCUGAGGCAGGAGGAUAGUUUGAGCACAAGAUGGACCAUUUAGAGACAAAGCAAGACCGUGUCUCAAAAUGCAAAGCACUAGGGAUGUAGCUUAGUGUAAAGGCUCUGAUUUCAAUACCCAGUACUGAGAAAAAAAAAAUCUAGGACAAACAAAAAUUCUGCAAGUUGCUAGCUUACAACUACUGGCUUUAAAAUAAACUGAUAUGGCUGUUUGGUGUAGCUAAGUGGUGAGUGAUGGGUCCGCUCCUGUGAAGCGCUGCCAGGCUCAGCGAGGCGCCUGCCCAACAUGGCACUGGACAGCGCCACCCUACAACACCCAAAAAUUGAACUCCCUGCUUCUCGCGUGCGCGACACCAUACCUCCAAUCAGCUGUCAAAACGUCACUGCCCGCCCCUUCAAACUCCUCUCCCCUGUCAAACUGAAUAAAAGCUUUAGGUCUGCCCUGCAGGGGAUGUUGCCCUGUACUGUAGCCUUCCUGUGUCCCAAUAAAGGCCUUUUUCUUUCUUCC